rnacentral:rRNA from 1 species
AUGCACCACAUCUCUAUUACUUCAUGGUUGGCGAGUGCUUCGGUCAAAGGAUGGUGGAACCGUAACCUCCCGAUUCGCCUCGGCUCCCCCAAAGCCCUUGCCUCAUUGAUGAUGCUCAUCUCAUAGGAGAUUUGGUCCGAGAGAAACGGUAGAGUCUUCCGCAACGUGGCGGUCCCUUCGAUGGUCAUCAUUAACAAGAUCAAGCACGAGGUGUCGCUCUGGGUUUUGGCGGGUGCCAAGCACUUGGGUAUUGUAAUGCCGCGAGAGUAG